rnacentral:rRNA from 1 species
UACGUAGGGUGCAAGCGUUGUCCGGAAUUAUUGGGCGUAAAGAGCUCGUAGGCGGUUUGUCGCGUCUGCUGUGAAAACGCGAGGCUCAACCUCGCGCCUGCAGUGGGUACGGGCAGACUAGAGUGCGGUAGGGGGAGAUUGGAAUUCCUGGUGUAGCGGUGGAAUGCGCAGAUAUCAGGAGGAACACCGAUGGCGAAGGCAGAUCUCUGGGCCGUAACUGACGCUGAGGAGCGAAAGCAUGGGGGAGCGAACAGG